rnacentral:rRNA from 1 species
CGCUAGUAAUCGCAGAUCAGCAUGCUGCGGUGAAUACGUUCCCGGGUCUUGUACACACCGCCCGUCACACCAUGGGAGUCGGAAAUGCCCGAAGUCAGUGGCCCAACCGGAAGGAGGGAGCUGCCGAAGGCAGGUCCGGUGACUGGGGUGAAGUCGUAACAAGGUAAC